GGAGAGGUACCCAAGUGGUUGAAGGGGACGGUUUGCUAAAUCGUUAGGGGUGCGCAAGUGCCCGCGAGAGUUCGAAUCUCUCCCUCUCCG
rnacentral:tRNA from 1 species